rfam:Acyrthosiphon pisum strain LSR1 Contig25526, whole genome shotgun sequence.
CCGUGUUCUGUGACUGACUGAGCUGGCGCCGGACUGGCGGGUGCCCGCAGCUCGGUCACAGAGCACGGGA